UACGUAGGUGGCAAGCGUUGUCCGGAUUUAUUGGGUUUAAAGGGUGCGUAGGCGGCCUUAUAAGUCAGUGCUGAAAUACUCUAGCUUAACUAGAGGGGUGGCAUUGAUACUGUAGGGCUUGAGUAUAGUCGAGGUAGGCGGAAUUGACGGUGUAGCGGUGAAAUGCUUAGAUAUCGUCAAGAACACCGAUAGUGUAGACAGCUUACUAGGCUAUAACUGACGCUGAGGCACGAAGGUGUGGGGAUCAAACAGG
rnacentral:rRNA from 1 species